UGGGGAAUCUUGGACAAUGGGCGCAAGCCUGAUCCAGCCAUGCCGCGUGCAGGAAGGAGGCCUUCGGGUUGUAAACUGCUUUUGUACGGAACGAAAAGGCUCUUUCUAAUAAAGAGGGCCCAUGACGGUACCGUAAGAAUAAGCACCGGCUAACUACGUGCCAGCAGCCGCGGUAAUACGUAGGGUGCGAGCGUUAAUCGGAAUUACUGGGCGUAAAGCGUGCGCAGGCGGUUCUAUAAGACAGAUGUGAAAUCCCCGGGCUCAACCUGGGAAUGGCAUUUGUGACUGUAGAGCUAGAGUACGGUAGAGGGGGAUGGAAUUCCGCGUGUAGCAGUGAAAUGCGUAGAUAUGCGGAGGAACACCGAUGGCGAAGGCAAUCCCCUGGACCUGUACUGACGCUCAUGCACGAAAGCGUGGGGAGCAAACAGGAUUAGAUACCCCCGUAGUCCCUGAGCGGGCUGGCAAGGCGCAU
rnacentral:rRNA from 1 species